rnacentral:pre_miRNA from 1 species
CAGGUCUGCUUGAAAUCUGUCUGAAGGGUCAGACUGGUUUCCCGCAGCCCUGCA